UAAGAACCUAACUAGCUAAACAUUUGCAUCUUGGAAGUUUGUUCCAUUACAAGUCCACCACAUUCCCUGCGCCAUGGAUGGACAUGACCGGGCUUUUUAAAAGUAUGGAUCCAACAACUGCAGCUGGACCAAGAGGGCCAGAGGACUUUUACAGAAGCCAUUUGGAGCAUCUGAUGUUAUGAAGGAACAGGAUCAGACCCACCAACAUUCUUCAGCCAUAUCCCUGCCUUAGAGAUCUAAAUCAUGUAAGCAAAUCAUUUUCAGAUGGUUUAUGUUUAAUAAGAUUCUGCAAGUAAAUAGUAAAUCAUACUCAUUGUAAAAUGUUGGACUUUUGCUUAUAAAAGUCAUAGGACUUUGGCAUUUAAAUGCUAUGAAGCUGAUGAACAGCAAGAGUUUUAUUGAAAUAACAUAUCUGUAUUUAUAUCUCGGUGUUUAUGUGUCAGAUUAUGGAUGAACGGGAUUGGAUCUUCAAUUAAGCAAACCCCCACUUCAUUCCUGAACUGAAGAAACGCUGGAGGAUCAUUUUUGAGAGGGACCAGUUUUUUGGAGUUUUUUUUUUUAAAAAGGGAUGAAGCCUCCAAAGAGAGAUGAAGUAAAGCAAACAAUUGUCUAGAUGAAGCCUUUGCCAGACAUGAUCCCAUCGCCUGUCGCGCCACCCAAGAAGCUCAGACAUUCAAGUGAGGUGAUGCUUCACAUCCUCCAGUCGGCAGAACACCCCAACAUCUUUCUUCAAUCAAGACCUUUCUUCCAUCCUGUGGUGAUCGUCUGUGACUCCAACCGUGUAACUACCAUUGGAACCAUUUCUGUGCUGAUCUUCUCCGAGGAGGACGUAUCUGACAGCGUGAUGUAUAUCAUGGCAUGUUACUACAUCUUUCACCGUACGUAUCCCAAGUGUAGCAGGACACUCCUGUUUGUGCUGCAGACAGAAGACCUUAUGGACACUAUCCAUGCCAGAGACAUGACUUCCUCUAACAAAAAAGUAAAUGUUAUUACAACUAUGUAUGUUGAUGUUCAGUCCAAAUGUUUACAGAUGUGAUUGUGAAAACGUGAAGUUUUCUACUAGUUUUCUAAGUUACAACAUCAUUUGUUCUGCUCUUCUUAUGAUGACGUUAGGCUUUCUGGAAUCAGUACGAGCUUUUUUAUUUUUAUCAGACUACUAGUUAUGUUGCCUAAACAAACAACAUUUAAGUUUCUCAGUAUCCUAUCACACAUUUUUGUGAGAUACUCAUUGUUAUUAAAUUUACAGCACCGUUUGUAGUCAUCUGCAUGUCUGUUUUUCAACCUAGACCAGCAAUACUUGUGUUUGUUUCCAGUCAUGAGCUCCUCAAAUGCAAUAAAGAAGUUAAAAGAAGCUGGAUUCAUAUCUUCAUUCAAGCCUGGGACAUUUGUAUGGCCAAGAUUAACGCAGGAAUUUUACCUUAAUUCAAGAAUUUCAAGUAAACUAUGAUCCAUAGUGAGAAAAUAAGAGUGCU
rnacentral:lncRNA from 1 species